rnacentral:rRNA from 1 species
UACGUAGGGGGCAAGCGUUGUCCGGAAUCAUUGGGCGUAAAGCGCGUGUAGGCGGCUCGGUAAGUCCGCUCUGAAAGUCCGGGGCUCAACCCCGGGAGGCGGGUGGAUACUGUCGAGCUAGAGUCCGGAAGAGGCGAGUGGAAUUCCUGGUGUAGCGGUGAAAUGCGCAGAUAUCAGGAGGAACACCGGUGGCGAAGGCGGGACUCUGGGCCGAUACUGACGCUGAGGAGCGAAAGCGUGGGGAGCAAACAGG